rnacentral:sRNA from 1 species
UGAGUUUUAUUUGUAUUUCAUUACCUAUAGGCACUGAUGCUCUCAGUUGAUCUAGCAAAUAGGCAUCUGUCACAGAAAAUAGAGAAGAUAUCCCAAGAGAAGAGGAGAAACUCCACAAUGUGAAGAGAUUUCCAGAGGCAUCAGCACUCCGUCUGUCACUAUUGGCAUCCUGUGACAUGGUUUAGUUUAUGCGUGCUGGUUAGGCUGAUUUACAUAAUACAUUAUCUAGUUAUACCUUAAAUAAACCUCAAAACUUGACGAAUGUCUUGCAAAUGUCCUGGAAAAAAAGAAUAAAUAAA